rnacentral:rRNA from 1 species
GACGAACGCUGGCGGCGUGCUUAACACAUGCAGGUCGAACGGAAAGGCCCUGCUUUUGUGGGGUGCUCGAGUGGCGAACGGGUGAGUAACACGUGAGUAACCUGCCCUUGACUUUGGGAUAACUUCAGGAAACUGGGGCUAAUACCGGAUAGGAGCUCCUGCUGCAUGGUGGGGGUUGGAAAGUUUCGGCGGUUGGGGAUGGACUCGCGGCUUAUCAGCUUGUUGGUGGGGUAGUGGCUUACCAAGGCUUUGACGGGUAGCCGGCCUGAGAGGGUGACCGGCCACAUUGGGACUGAGAUACGGCCCAGACUCCUACGGGAGGCAGCAGUGGGGAAUAUUGCACAAUGGGCGGAAGACUGAUGCAGCAACGCCGCGUGCGGGAUGACGGCCUUCGGGUUGUAAACCGCUUUCGCCUGUGACGAAGCGUGAGUGACGGUAAUGGGUAAAGAAGCACCGGCUAACUACGUG